UUGUAUUUUUCUUGGCAUUUGCUAGCAGAAACAAACCAGCACGAGGCAAUGCUACAACUUGAUUAAAGAAUGCAUCCUCAGGGUUGGGUUCAGAAGAACUUUUAAUAUCCAAAGUCUGAAUACAAUUCCAUGACUCAGAAUCACUAGGUAAUAGCCAGCCUUCCUCAUUGUCAGAUACCCAUAUCUUCACUUCCCGAUUUAGAGGCCCCUGUGGUAAAGUAAAUAUAUAUCGAAAGAAAUUAGUUUAUGGAAGAUACAAAAGUGAACCUGGAUACCACUUUGAGCAGAAAUUACUAAUGAAGGCCAAGCUGCAAAUAAAAUAGUUCAAAAGCAGCCCCAACUGAAGCAUAAUAAUAUACUGUUUCAAAUAAUAGGAAAGCCUAGGAGCAUAUACCACUGUGAUAAGAAUGAUAUGAUCAGGGCGGUGAGGAGCUGUCAAGAAUGUCACAGAAUCAACAGGUUUACCAUCAUACGGUCUUAAAACAGCAAGUGGUGUUGCCUUCCGUUCUUCCCAUAUCUUUACCUGUUGACAAUAACGAGUCAUUUAGAAGUGUAAGAAGAAGACUGGUUUCAAAUCUCUUCUUCAUAUUGACAACCCCAAGAUGCAAUUCAAUGACAUGAACCAUUUAAAGCAAAAGGUUUUGAGUUUAUAUUAAAAUUUUCGCAGAUUCCACUAGUGCAAAACUGGAUCAAACAAAGAAAAACAGCAAGGCAAGAAGAAAGAGCCAGAUGCAGACCGUGCCAUCUGCAGAUGCUGAAGCUAAUCGACUCUUCAUCCAUUGGCACAUUGACAAUUCAGUGACAUUACCGUCAUGCUUACCAAUGAGGUGCACCCCAUCAAUCAAUUUAUCAAUGUUACAUUUGAGAGGCUCCUCUGCGGAAAAUUUUUCACCUUUCCCAGCUUUCAUAGUGUCAAUUUUGAGGACACGGUUUCCAAUAGCAACUAUUAAAAUCUCCUGUAGGUCAAUUCCAACUGAUAAGCUAAAUUUUCAAAGGACAGCAAUUAGAAGAUAAUAAACUUAAGGACCAAAAAUAUAAGGUCACUAUUACUUGUUUGUGGGGAUGCCAGCAUACUCGUGGAUGAACUGACUCACUAUCUCCUAACAUCUGAAUGGCUAGGAUAACUUUUCCAGUAAUUUGAGGCUUGUCUUCCUCAUCAGGGCCCUCAUUGAUUCUCCAUACAAAAAUUGUCCCAUCAGUGCUAGCACUGUGAAUACAAGAGCAUAUUCAAGGGAGAAAUAAUUAAUCAGUGCAUUAUAAUUUAUAGCCAAAAAAAUGACACAAGAAGCUGAACGAAUAUUUACCUUGCCAAUAGGUGAAGAUCCUCAGCGAAGAAAGCCAUGUCUGUUACUCUCUGCAUAAAAAGGUGAUAUACAUAAAUUGGAGUGUGAAUAGAUUGGAAAUCAAAUAAAAAGGGAAAAUUACAUCUCAAAGGCGUUUAGCAACAGCAAACUUAUUAUAAGAGGUAGAACAAGCUUUACAUGUUCAAAGGAAGUUGAAAUCAUAAAAAUAUGAUCCACCAUGAGAUAAAAGUUACAAAGAUUACCCAUACAAUGGUUAAAGUAAGGAAGUCAAAAGGUACAUCUAUUACUCUCAAAUUUUAGGAGCUUGGUAAACAUAGCAACAUAAUCCAAACAAAUAAAAAGAAACUAAAAGAUAAAACCAGAAAUGAGAGAAAGAACACACACAUAACACAAACAAUCUUUCUCAUAUAUCAACAAACUCAUCUUAUAAUUACCAUAUCUUGUCUUUCUGCAAGCAGCUAUCUAAACAAAAAAUGAUACGCUUAAAUCAAAAGAAGGUAACAUAUUGAAAGCAGGAAAAAAAAUAAGGAGAGGAAGUGGAGGUGGAGCAGUAUGGAUAUGAUCAAAACCAUUAUGAGAUGAUAAAUCAUUUGGCUUGGUCUCUGUAUCUGGUAUUGAAGUUUCAGGCAGACCCGAAGUAUCCGGAGAAGCCAAACUUUCAGAUGGGCGUAUGACAGCACUUUCAGAACCAUCCAUAUUUCCAGCUUGUGGCAUAUUUCCAGCUUCUUGAUUAGUAGAACCAUCCAAAGCAUCAAAAUCACGAGAGGAUUCUAUUUUUUCAAGUUCAACAUUGUCCAGGGGAGGAGGCAAACACUGUGACAAAGUGAGUCCAUAUUGCUGAAUAGCUUGUGUUUGGACACAAUAUAUCUGUACAAUGUGGUCUCCAUCCGGUAAACUAUCACUAGUUCCAGUAAGACUUAAUAUAGGCAUUGUGACUGUGAACUCAGCAAUGUAAUCCAAGCGGGUAGCAGUUGGAUUGGUUCCAAAUUCUAUGUGCACAGCAUAUAUUGUAUUUUUCUUGGCAUUUGCUAGCAGAAACAAACCAGCACGAGGCAAUGCUACAACUUGAUUAAAGAAUGCAUCCUCAGGGUUGGGUUCAGAAGAACUUUUAAUAUCCAAAGUCUGAAUACAAUUCCAUGACUCAGAAUCACUAGGUAAUAGCCAGCCUUCCUCAUUGUCAGAUACCCAUAUCUUCACUUCCCGAUUUAGAGGCCCCUGUGGUAAAGUAAAUAUAUAUCGAAAGAAAUUAGUUUAUGGAAGAUACAAAAGUGAACCUGGAUACCACUUUGAGCAGAAAUUACUAAUGAAGGCCAAGCUGCAAAUAAAAUAGUUCAAAAGCAGCCCCAACUGAAGCAUAAUAAUAUACUGUUUCAAAUAAUAGGAAAGCCUAGGAGCAUAUACCACUGUGAUAAGAAUGAUAUGAUCAGGGCGGUGAGGAGCUGUCAAGAAUGUCACAGAAUCAACAGGUUUACCAUCAUACGGUCUUAAAACAGCAAGUGGUGUUGCCUUCCGUUCU
rnacentral:lncRNA from 1 species